CGACUGGAGAAGCGUGGCAGUUUCAGAGUUUUCCUCCAGGGAGGACCUCAUUCAGGCCAUAAUGUGCAGCUGCUUCGUCCCUGUGUGUUUUGGGAUUUUACCUCCUACGUACCAUGGAGUGCGUUACGUUGAUGGGGAACUUGGCAUGUGGCGGGCCAACUUUGUGUCCCGGACCACGAUCACCGUGUCUGGUUUCGCUGGUGAAUACGACAUCUGUCCCAGAGAUGGCCCAUCUGCCUUCUUCACUUUCCAGCUCUCUGACUGUAUUUUACAGAUAUCAAAAAGAAACAUUUGCCGC